rnacentral:rRNA from 1 species
CGAUGGAUAGGGGGUUCUGAGAGGAAGGUCCCCCCACAUUGGAACUGAGACACGGUCCAAACUCCUACGGGAGGCAGCAGUGAGGAAUAUUGGUCAAUGGACGAGAGUCUGAACCAGCCAAGUAGCGUGAAGGAUGACUGCCCUAUGGGUUGUAAACUUCUUUUAUACGGGAAUAAAGUGAGGCACGUGUGCCUUUUUGUAUGUACCGUAUGAAUAAGGAUCGGCUAACUCCGUGCCAGCAGCCGCGGUAAUACGGAGGAUCCGAGCGUUAUCCGGAUUUAUUGGGUUUAAAGGGAGCGUAGGCGGACGCUUAAGUCAGUUGUGAAAGUUUGCGGCUCAACCGUAAAAUUGCAGUUGAUACUGGGUGUCUUGAGUACAGUAGAGGCAGGCGGAAUUCGUGGUGUAGCGGUGAAAUGCUUAGAUAUCACGAAGAACUCCGAUUGCGAAGGCAGCCUGCUGGACUGUAACUGACGCUGAUGCUCGAAAGUGUGGGUAUCAAACAGGAUUAGAUACCCUGGUAGUCCACACAGUAAACGAUGAAUACUCGCUGUUUGCGAUAUACAGUAAGCGGCCAAGCGAAAGCGUUAAGUAUUCCACCUGGGGAGUAC